rnacentral:rRNA from 1 species
GAUGAACGCUAGCGGCAGGCCUAACACAUGCAAGUCGAGGGGCAGCACAAAUGAAGCUUGCUUUAUUGGUGGCGACCGGCGCACGGGUGAGUAACGCGUAUGCAACCUACCCUAUACUGGGGGAUAACCAUGAGAAAUUGUGACUAAUACCCCAUAAUGUAAUUUUCGGUCAUCGUUAGAUUAUUAAAGGUUACGGUAUAGGAUGGGCGAUGCGUCCCAUUAGCUAGUUGGUAUGGUAACGGCAUACCAAGGCUACGAUGGGUAGGGGGGCCGUGAGAGGGUGGAUCCCCCACCACUGGUACUGAGACACGGACCAGACUCCUACGGGAGGGCAGCAGUGAGGAAUAUUGGUCAAUGGGCGCAAGCCUGAACCAGCCAUGCCGCGUGCAGGAAGACGGUCCUAUGGAUUGUAAACUGCUUUUAUUCGGGGAUAAACCUCCUUACGUGUAGGGAGCUGAAGGUACCGAAAGAAUAAGCACCGGCUAACUCCGUGCCAGC